rnacentral:rRNA from 1 species
GUCCACGCUAUAAACGAUGUAUACUUGUUGUUGGAUGUAUUGACCCCUUCAGUGACGAAGCUAACGCGUUAAGUAUCCCGCCUGGGGAGUACGGUCGCAAGAUUAAAACUCAAAGAAAUUGACGGGGGCCCGCACAAGCGGUGGAGCAUGUGGUUUAAUUCGAUGCAACGCGAAGAACCUUACCUAGGCUUGACAUGUACUGGAAGAUUGGCAGAAAUGUCGUCGCCCGCAAGGGUCGGUACACAGGUGCUGCAUUGCUGUCGU